rnacentral:rRNA from 1 species
UAUGUUAGCUUGCUAAAAUAUUUAGUAGCAAAUGGGUGAGUAACACGUACCUAACCUACCUUUUGGGCCGGGAUAACCAUUGGAAACAGCGGCUAAUACCGGAUAUAAUAAAAAAAUGCAUGUUUUUUUAUCAAAAGAAGCCUUUAAAGCUUCACCAAAAAAUGGGGGUGCGCAACAUUAGUUAGUUGGUAGGGUAAAGGCCUACCAAGACGAUGAUGUUUAGCGGGGCCAAGAGGCUGUACCGCCACACUGGGAUUGAGAUACGGCCCAGACUCCUACGGGAGGCAGCAGUAAGGAAUAUUCCACAAUGAGCGAAAGCUUGAUGGAGCGACACAGAGUGCAGGAUGAAGUCUUUAGGGAUGUAAACUGCUGUUGUAAGGGAAGAAAAAACUAGAUAGGAAAUGAUUUAGUCUUGACGGUACCUUAUUAGAAAGUGACGGCAAACUAUGUGCCAGCAGCCGCGGUAAUACAUAGGUCGCAAGCGUUAUCCGGAAUUAUUGGGCGUAAAGCGUCCGCAGGUUUUUUGUUAAGUUUAAGGUUAAAUGCUAAAGCUCAACUUUAGUUCGCUUUAGAUACUGACAAAAUAGAAUUAUGAAGAGGUUAGCGGAAUUCCUAGUGGAGCGGUGGAAUGCGUAGAUAUUAGGAAGAACACCAAUAGGCGAAGGCAGCUAACUGGUCAUAUAUUGACACUAAUGGACGAAAGCGUGGGGAGCAAACAGGAUUAGAUACCCUGGUAGUCCACGCCGUAAACGAUGAUCAUUAGUUGGUGGCAAAAGUCACUAGCACAGCUAACGCGUUAAAUGAUCCGCCUGAGUAGUAUGCUCGCAAGAGUGAAACUUAAAGGAAUUGACGGGAACCCGCACAAGCGGUGGAGCAUGUGGUUUAAUUUGAAGAUACGCGUAGAACCUUACCCACUCUUGACAUCCUCGCAAAACUAUAGAGAUAUAGCGAG